rnacentral:rRNA from 1 species
UACGUAGGGGGCAAGCGUUGUCCGGAUUUAUUGGGCGUAAAGAGCUCGUAGGUGGUUCGGUAAGUCAGGUGUGAAACCUCCAGGCUCAACCUGGAGACGCCAGUUGAUACUGCUGUGACUGGAGUCCGGUAGGGGAGAGUGGAAUUCCUGGUGUAGCGGUGAAAUGCGCAGAUAUCAGGAGGAACACCAGCGGCUAAGGCGGCGCUCUGGGACGGUACUGACGCUGAGGAGCGAAAGCGUGGGUAGCAAACAGG